rnacentral:rRNA from 1 species
UACGUAGGGUGCGAGCGUUAAUCGGAAUUACUGGGCGUAAAGCGUGCGCAGGCGGUUUUGUAAGCCAGAUGUGAAAGCCCCGGGCUCAACCUGGGAAUGGCAUUUGGGACUGCAAGGCUUGAGUGCGGCAGAGGAGACUGGAAUUCCUGGUGUAGCAGUGAAAUGCGUAGAGAUGUGGAGGAACACCGAUGGCGAAGGCAGCCCCCUGGGCUAACACUGACGCUCAUGCACGAAAGCGUGGGAGCAAACAGG